UGGUGGGGUGACUUGUCUGCUUAAUUGCGAUAACGAGCGAGACCUUAACCUGCUAAAUAGCCCGCAUUGCUCCGGCAGUGCGCUGGCUUCUUAGAGGGACUUUCGGCUCAAGCCGAAGGAAGUUUGAGGCAAUAACA
rnacentral:rRNA from 1 species